rnacentral:rRNA from 1 species
GAUGAACGCUGGCGGCGUGCCUAAUACAUGCAAGUCGAGCGAACAGACGAGGAGCUUGCUCCCCUGACGUUAGCGGCGGACGGGUGAGUAACACGUGGAUAACCUACCUAUCAGACUGGGAUAACUUCGGGAAACCGGAGCUAAUACCGGAUAAUAUAUUGAACCGCAUGGUUCAAUAGUUAAAGACGGUUUUGCUGUCACUUAUAGAUGGAUCCGCGCCGCAUUAGCUAGUUGGUAAGGUAACGGCUUACCAAGGCAACGAUGCGUAGCCGACCUGAGAGGGUGGUCGGCCACACUGGAACUGAGACACGGUCCAGACUCCUACGGGAGGAAGCAGUAGGGAAUCUUACGCAAUGGGCGAAAGCUUGACGGAGCAACGCCGCGGGAGUGAUGAAGGUCUUCGGAUCGUAAAACUCUGUUAUUAGGGAAGAACAAAUGUGUAAGUAACUAUGCACGUCUUGACGGUACCUAAUCAGAAAGCCACGGCUAACUACGUG